CGCACGCGAGCCACGAGUGACGGAGGUUAGCGGAGAAUCGGCUCGCGUUGCCGACUCGGAACAGGGCGAGUCGAAACCCAGUGCAACGAUCGCGUUCCCGGGCUCGGCGAAAGCCGCGAGACUCGUCGCUCGUCUGGUGGGAGCGCGUGACCGCUCGUUCCUCACGGAUUUCACGAAACACCCCCAAAACGGCAACCCGUCGUCGUCGUGGUGCUGCCGGGGCCCCGCCGUUAGCCGCGAGAGAUCGCGAGAAGGGAGCUUCGCCGGAGAAUCGGCCGGGCGAUCGCCGAGAGGGUCGGCCUCGUCGUGCGCGACCGGAUCAACGGCCACCACAUACGCCGCUUACUGGCGGCCCAGUGAAAUGGAGGAGAAGUCCUCGGCUCGGUUCUCCGAGUACCUGUUCGCCAAGAUGGAUGGUCAUGACGUGUCGGCCUCUCAGGGUCCCCGUAAGGUGACCGCCGACACCAGGAAGUUCAUGCGGGAGAAUCUACUCCUCGUCGUUACCCUGUCCGGCGUACUGUUCGGCGUGAUACUGGGAUUCGGUUUGCGACCCCUGGGCCUCGGCGAUGACGCAGUUAUGUUAAUCAGUUAUCCUGGAGAGCUCUUCAUGAGGUUGUUAAAGUUAAUGAUCCUACCGCUCGUGAUCGCUAGUCUUAUAUCAGGUUCGGCGAGUUUGAACGCGAGGAUGAACGGCAUGAUCGCCGUACGAACUUUGGUGUACUUCAUACUGACAUCGCUGCUAAACGCUGUCCUUGGCGUCGUCCUGGUUCUGCUCAUCCAUCCGGGUAAUCCAGGGAUCAGAAAAUCGAUCGCGACCUCGCACAGCGGUAGAGCCGUUAACAUCUUGGACAGUCUUCUCGAUUUGGGAAGGAACAUGUUCCCGGACAAUAUUUUCCAAGCAGCCUUUCAGCAGGCGCACACGGUAUACGUUCCGAAAACGCAGCCGUUCCGGAAUCUCACCGACGCGAUGUCUACGGAGGUCCUCGGGGACGAGGAACUGAUGAGGGUGACGCAGUACAGGAGCGGCACGAACACUCUGGGCAUAGUGUUCUUCUGCCUCGUGUUCGGCACGUUCCUAGGUACGCUGGGCGAGAAGGGCCAGAUCGUGAUCGACUUCUUCAAGGCUGUGUUCGAAGUCAUCAUGCGAAUGGUGUCAACCGUGAUGUGGAUGACACCGGUGGGCAUCACCUCGGUAAUAGCUGGUAAAAUAUUGGGCGUGGCAGAUCUGGCGCUGGUGAUGUCGCAACUCGCCUGGUUCAUCGUAACGAUCGUGGUCGGUGUGUUUUUCUAUCAGCUGGUGAUCAUGCAGCUGAUCUAUUUGGCCUUCGUGAGAAAGAACCCCUUUAAAUUCUACGCCGGCCUCGCCCAGGGCACGCUCACCGCCUUCGCCAUGGCUUCAACGGCCGCCGCGCUACCCGUGACAUUUCGCCUGAUGACGGACAAGCUACGGGUCGAUCCCCGCGUAACGAGAUUCGUUCUCCCGAUCGGAUGCAACAUUAACAUGGACGGGACCGCGCUGUUCGUUGCCGUCGCUAGUAUAUUCAUCGCGCAAAUGCACGGCAUCUCUUUGGGCUUCGGCGAGAUCGUCACUGUUAUUUUGACCUCGACCGCCGCGUCCGUGUCAUCGGCAUCGGUUCCAAGCGCGGCCUUGGUCUUGCUACUCGUUGUCCUAAGCGCCAUCGACGCUCCCGUUUACAACGUCUCCUUAUUAUUCACCAUCGACUGGUUCGUGGAUCGCAUUCGAACCACGAACAACAUGUUGGGUGAUUGUUACGCGGCUGCCGUCGUCGAGCAGUUAUCUAAGAAGGAAUUAAUGGCGCUGGAUGCUGCGGCUUACCAGUCAGAGACUGUUCUGCCCACAACCAUCGCGAACGGAUGCAUAUCCGCCAACAGGGUACCUGAUCCGGACACGAUAGUCGUCGAGAUGCAGGACGACAGCACGAGGAUAGCCGGUGUCGCCAAGUAAACAGGCUUGUUGAUAGGGCUAGGCCAUCACUUUGUAAGAACCCAACGAUCGCGUGCAUUUUACGUUACCUACACGUCCCUCUGUCUAUUCUGCUUUCGCUCUAACCGCAAAAGAACUACUCGCGAAUCGUCAACAUUUACAAAUGACUCAUGCCUUCUCCUCGUCACAGGCAUCAGCGUGUUGCCGAUACCGAGGAGCGUUACGGAAGAGACAGUUUGACCUGCGCUCUGCCUUGAAAGUUACAAUUUGUACCGUAGCUUAGCGCGAUUAUGAUUUUACGACACCGUCGAGUGCGACGCGUUCAAACAGGGAUCAAAAAUGAACAGAAAAUUCUACACACACACACCAACCCUCGUCGCACCACUGUUUUUUACUACAACACAGAAUUGCGUUCGCAGCGAGUCGUUUAGGUUCACGGUGAUCGUGGCCGAUAUAUCAAACAGAAAGUCAAUAUCAAAUAUUAGGCGGGAGUACGCGUUAGCGUUUGGUAACAAGCUUUGCGUAGUGACUUGUCUGGGUCAAGUGAUCGACUCGAUGGGAUUAAUUUGAUGGAACUGCGUUCAUUCGAUUGCCAGACAGUCUUAAUUGAUCGACACGAGCGGCCAAUCGUCGCCGCAAUACAGCCACGAUGACUUCGCGGCGGUUGAUCGAUGUCCCUUUUAUGCGCGACUCGGAUCUUGAUCGAUCGUUGACAAUUACGUGGAAGAAUACCUGCGGGAAAACUUCUAUUAAAAAAAAAAAAAAAAAACUGUUAGUAAAGGCUUUACGCCGCGUUUCGCGUAGCGAUUAGAACCGUUGUGAUACGAAUCGAUCGAUGGCUUCGUCGAUCGAUUCGACGUUUUGAUAGAGACAUUGUAACACUACCAGAAGAUCGUAGACGAGAGAAGACGAGUAGGUUCGUUUAGCUUUAAUCGUACUGAAUUUUACAGUUUUUGGACCAUCGACUUACUUACCAUUAGAGCGGUGCACCGAAGUAUCUCAGCUGACGCGAGUCUCUUGGAAAAUUGAAAGACGACUUAAGUACUGUCGACCACCCUGCCUCUGAAUUUUCGAUUCAACUCGUUUAGACUAAUCUCAGACUCAACACGAAGAUCGUUCUGUGACACGUGAAUAAGUUAUUAUACCUACAGUGAAGUCUAUAAAUAACCAGAUUGCAAAAUUGAAUAACAUUUUUAAUAUUAGAUCCAACAUCUUAUAAUUUUUUGGUGUGUCAGUAGGCUUACAGGAAGUCAAAGGCAAGCCACCUGAAUUGUUUCUACUUUUUUGUUUUAAGUAGGGAGAAACGUUAUAAACUUAAAAAUUGUGGCCUUCGCUUCUGUUUCGUAAAUCCGAGCUUCAGAAAUUUUUGAACAAGAAGUAAUACGCUAAAUCUAAUAUUAAAAAAGUGAUUCAAUGUUGAAAUAUGAAAGAACAUUUAUGGACUUGACUGUAUGUACGUACACUGCCGCUAAAAAGUUUGGAGCGUGUCGCAGUUUUGCAAACAAAUAAUACCUACGAUUAUCCACCGAAUCCGACUGGAAACUGUAACUACACUUAAUUCUAUACUAUAAAUGAUUUUAACGUGACGUUUAAAUGGAAAUUUCCACCAAGUUAGGUAUUCACAUUUUCCUUUUCGAACGACGGAAAGUGCUCCGAAUUUUCAAGCGGUCAGUUCAAAUACAAAACGCAUCCGAAAUGGGACGAGAGAAACAAUUUCAUUAGCGCUCAUACGCGAGCUGAUUUCAAGACUGGACAAGCAAUACGAAUUAACUAUGCUGUCACGUUGUAUAGGGGCAACUCCCAGGAUACGGAGGAGGGUUCACUAACUCUAGGCACUAGAACCUUAGGUCGAUACGUGUUCUAUCGUAGAGACUGUUUAAAUGUACAAAUUAACUGGAUAAAUUAGUGCUUUCGUAGCGAUUUUUAUUUAUGCAGUUACAUUACGUGGACUUUUGCUUGUUCCAAUUGUGACGAGUUACUUGUCGUUACUUUGAUUACGCAGGAUAGGUCGAUGUGACGCGUUUCAGUUCUCGUUUUCAUUUAUGUACUACUAAAAACAAUUAUGGUAUCACGGUAUUGGAAAUUGCCAAAGUUCGUAAAAUUAUUAAUUAGCAAUGAAUUAGCAUAGGACGAUCAUUUUUCUUUUAAAACACUUUCGAGAUAUGUUCGAUUUGUUAAAAUUCUACGAUAGAAAACGCUUGAAUCUAAGAAGAUGAAAAUUAAAAAAAUUAUCGAAGUACGACAAUGUGCACAGACUCUGAUAACUCUUUUGCAGCGAUGGUGUUUAUGACAAAUGAAAACAUGAUUCUGUAUCUUUAAUUUAGAAGGAAAAUCUCCAAGUUUUAAUUGUCUUACGAUGAUUUGUUGCUAAUUUUUAAUUUGGACAAUUUUCCAUACAAACGUGAUACCAGAAUUUUUUUUAGGUAGUGUAGUUUCGUAGCGAGUUUAACGAGAAAUCGCGCUUUAUCGCUGAAGUUUAUCUAUAAAAAAAGGAAAUAUGAAUGCAAGUUACACGUGUAUAACCAAUUUUUGAUGAAAAACGAAAUUAAUCGCGUAUUUGUAUGUAUGUAUGUACCGUGAUCGAAUAUAAUUUUGUGAUGAUUUUACGAAACUGGAGUGUUAGGAACGGUUCACGCAAGGCUUUUCAUAGUUCAUUCAGAAGUUAACUAAUGAAUGGAGUAAACAUUUUCUUGGAACGUAUUUGUUUAACGUUCGGGGACAGUUUGUAUCGUUUCAAUAAUUGCUUAUUGUUCGAACGCAGUGAUCUUGUUACUGUAAUGGAUGCGUAUGAUUAUUUUUCGCCAUGAGAUUUUUAUGACGUCUUUCGGAAGCGAGUUUGUUAUAAGAAGUUGAACCAGUAGUGGUUGUAUACUUUAUUAUUAUACGAUCACACAUUUUGUAUAAAUGGUAAUCACUGAAUAGAUUAUCAAACAAUUUAACGAUGGUUAUGCAUAUUGCCUUUGUACCGAACGAAUGUUUGUAAAACGAAACGCUUUCAAUAUUCCUAUAAACAUCUUAAUUUGUUCGGGAGAGUAUACGAGAAGGAGAUCUCAUUUCUAUAGCUGUCAUAUUGUAAAACUAUAUAGAUUUCGACAUUACGCAUAAAGUUAGAAGGUUCGAACUUGAAUAAGUGUAUUCAAGUAACGUUAGAGGAUUAGAAUUGUUUUUUUAGAUUCGAUGAUAAAUGUAUUGUACAUAUUUACCUGGUUUAUAUCGUACCCUAUAUUACUGGAAAAACGUGUUCCCACAUAUUUGAUACUGUCUGAGACUUGUCAAUUUUCAAUUAGCUUUAGCGAGGAAAAGUAGAAUAGCAGAAUUGUUUUUUUUUUCUCAUAUGCGUGUAUUUUUUUUUUAAUUUUUCUGAGGAGAUUAGAACUACGUAGACGAACAGCUUUGAACGAUCAGAACGAAUUCAAUGUAGCCACGACUCCGUGAGAAAUGUUGUACAUAUAUAUGUUAUGUAUGUACACUAAACUUACAUUUGAAUAAAACCGCAGAUAAAUAUCGAUAUUA